UUAAUCUUAUAUCAUAUUUCAUAAAUUAAGUACUAAUAAUUUCAUUCUGCAUUCCAGGGGUUUUCGAUGCACACAUGUGACCCUUCAUGGGCCAUAGGAAUAUGAAGACCGCUUCUUGUAUAUCUUUUCCAUCACGGAACAAUGGUGUUCCGGACCUUUGGGAGGCGUGCGCGGAGCCGUAGGCAACACAUACGGGAUCAUAUCAAUUACGUGGACAAGUCGUAUGGUGGGACAACCUACGACCCCUUUAUAUGGAGCAACAGCGUUAGUCGAGAUUACUUCGAGCAGCUGGCAUGUGUGGCACCAGCGAAAUAGUGUACAUUAGAUAUGGGAACAAGUCAACUACAUCAUUAACAUGGACGCGUCGUACGGCAGGGCAACCCACGACGCCUUCAUAUGUAGCAAUAGCAUUAGUCAAGACUACUUCGAGCAGCGGGCAUGUGGUACCAGCGAAAUAGU